ACUCCUACGGGAGGCAGCAGUGGGGAAUAUUGCACAAUGGGCGCAAGCCUGAUGCAGCCAUGCCGCGUGUAUGAAGAAGGCCUUCGGGUUGUAAAGUACUUUCAGCGGGGAGGAAGGUGCUGAGGUAAUAACCUCAGCAAAGGACGUACCCGCAGAAGAAGCACCG
rnacentral:rRNA from 1 species